GAAAGUAAAAAUCCAAUAAAUAGCUAUGAACCUUGUCAGAUCUGGAAGGAAGCAGCAAUAAGUAGUGAUUUUAUGUGGAAUUUUAUUUUCCAU
rnacentral:SRP_RNA from 1 species